rnacentral:rRNA from 1 species
AUUGAACGCUGGCGGCAGGCCUAACACAUGCAAGUCGAACGAGUGGCGGACGGGUGAGUAAUGUCUGGGAAACUGCCUGAUGGAGGGGGAUAACUACUGGAAAAGGUAGCUAAUAACGCAAAACAUCCGAUCGGGACAGAUGGGAGUAGCUAGUAGGUGGGGUAAAGGCUCACCUAGGCGACGAGCCCUAGCUGGUCUGAGAGGAUGACCAGCCACACUGGAACUGAGACACGGUCCAGACGCCUACGGGAGGCAGCAGUGGGGAAUAGUGCACAAUGGGCGCAAGCCUGAUGCAGCCAUGCCGCGUGUAUGAAGAAGGCCUUCGGGUUGUAAAGUACUUUCAGCGGGGAUGCGUUACCCGCAGAAGAAGCACCGGCUAACUCCGUGCCAGCAGCCGCGGUAAUUC